UAGGGAAUCUUCCGCAAUGGGCGAAAGCCUGACGGAGCAACGCCGCGUGAGUGAUGAAGGUCUUCGGAUCGUAAAACUCUGUUAUUAGGGAAGAACAAAUGUGUAAGUAACUAUGCACGUCUUGACGGUACCUAAUCAGAAAGCCACGGCUAACUACGUGCCAGCAGCCGCGGUAAUACGUAGGUGGCAAGCGUUAUCCGGAAUUAUUGGGCGUAAAGCGCGCGUAGGCGGUUUUUUAAGUCUGAUGUGAAAGCCCACGGCUCAACCGUGGAGGGUCAUUGGAAACUGGAAAACUUGAGUGCAGAAGAGGAAAGUGGAAUUCCAUGUGUAGCGGUGAAAUGCGCAGAGAUAUGGAGGAACACCAGUGGCGAAGGCGACUUUCUGGUCUGUAACUGACGCUGAUGUGCGAAAGCGUGGUGAUCAAACAGG
rnacentral:rRNA from 1 species